rnacentral:rRNA from 1 species
GACGAACGCUGGCGGCGUGCUUAACACAUGCAAGUCGAACGGAAAGGCUCCAGCUUGCUGGAGUACUCGAGUGGCGAACGGGUGAGUAACACGUGGGUAAUCUGCCCUGCACUCUGGGAUAAGCCUGGGAAACUGGGUCUAAUACUGGAUAUGACCUUUCUCCUUAUGGGGUUUGGUAGAAAGUUUUUCGGUGUAGGAUGAGCCCGCGGCCUAUCAGCUUGUUGGUGGGGUGAUGGCCUACCAAGGCGACGACGGGUAGCCGGCCUGAGAGGGUGAUCGGCCACAUUGGGACUGAGAUACGGCCCAGACUCCUACGGGAGGCAGCAGUGGGGAAUAUUGCACAAUGGGCGGAAGCCUGAUGCAGCGACGCCGCGUGAGGGAUGACGGCCUUCGGGUUGUAAACCUCUUUCAGCAGGGACGAAGCGUAAGUGACGGUACCUGCAGAAGAAGCACCGGCUAACUAUGUG